AGCCCCAGCCCUGGGCGAAGAUCCAGUGGUCGCGGCUGAGGAGGCUCUGCGGAGGAGGCGUCUGGGCCAUGGCGGGGCCACGGGCUCUGGGAGGCUGGGCCGCCCACCUCCAGGCCUGAGCUUUUAUCUUGAGCAAAGAAUGAUUUGGAAAUAUAUUGGAGAAAAUAUGCCUAAGUCACUGCUCUAACAUUAUGCUGGAGUAACACUUGGCACUGCAUAUCACUGGUUUUGGCCCAGCAGUACCACCUUGUGCAUGAACAGCUAGAUAUGCAUCAGUGGAUGGCUUUGUGAUCUCCAGAAAGCUUCUGAAUAUCUGGAAUUAUUUUCCCCCAGCCUCCUUAGAGCCAGCCUGAGGGAUUUCUUGUGGAGGAAUUUGAUGGAGUCUCACUCUAUUGCCCAGGCUGGAAUACAAUGGCAUGAUCUCGGCUUACUGCAACCUCCGCCUCCUGGGUUCAAGCAAUUCUCUUGCCUCAGCCUUCUGAGUAGCUGGGAUUACAGGCAUGCACCACCAUGCCCAGCUAAUUUUUGUAUUUUUAGUAGAGACGGGGUUUCACCAUGUUGGCCAGGCUGGUUUCAAAUUCCUGACCUCAAGUGAUCCACCCUCCUCAGCCUUUGAAAGUGCUGGGAUUACAGGAGUGAACCACUGCACCUGGCCUUUUUAAUUUUAAAUAAUUUAAAAAAAGAAAAAAGAAGAAAGAAACCUAUAGCACCUGGUAUUCCCAGGCUGUCUCCCAUCCUAGUACUUAGCUUCUUAGAUCAGACAAGUUUGGGCACAUUCAGGGUGGUAUGGCUGUAGAGCAGAACUUAACUUUUAAAUUGUAUAUGUAAUACAUGAACGCAGUCUUUUUGUAAAAAUUUAAACAUCGAAGACAGAAUUCAAGCUUGACCAAUCCCCAGAACUCAGACCUGCCCCACCCACACUCCAAACGUCCUGGUAUGUUCUAGAUUUGGUGAGUACCCAAGGCCUCUGUCUGUGUAUGUCUACACACAUACACGGUAGGCGCUUACAGAAUACGUGGUCUUAUAUGAUGACUUUCUGUGUAGGGGCUGUUUUUCAGAUUUCAUUUUCUUUUGACUGGACUUUUAUCAAUGGUGCCAUACUGAAUGAAUAUUUCUGCACCUUGGCUUUGUCGUUAAGCAGUCUGUCUAAACUUGCACUUGUCAUCUUUUCUGGUCAGCAUGAAUUCCUGUCAGGGGAAUGGCUGGGCAGAGGGCAUGCUGAGUCUGUUCUGAAGCUUCGGCCCAGUGCUGUUGAGUCCCAGAGGUGGGUGGGUGAGGCUGGCCUGGUUAAUGGCAGCCAGCAGCACUGACCACACAUCUGGGGCACCUGGGCCAAGGCACCUGGCUGUCCUGGGUGCUCCCAGGGCCUGUGGUGGAGCAUCAUCUACAAGUGGGGAGAAACUUCCUUGGCUCAGGUCAAGGGCUGGAUCGUGGAUUUCUCUUGGUGAGGGGCCUUGGGAGCCACGGAUAGAGUUCCUCUUAUUCUCGGUCUCUGGCACGUUGUCAGUAUAGAUCUUGUAAGACUCCUCUUUUUAUUUCACAUUUGGCCAAUUUAAGCUCUCUCCCCAUUCCCUUCAGUAUUAUCCAGCCUGUCCAGGGAUGCCCCAUCCCUGGCCUCUGGCAAAGGACCCUUUACUUACUGGAUGCCUUGUCCUCAGCCUCUGGCAAAGGACCCCCGUCCAGUGGUGCCACACUCCCCCAGGUCCUGCCUAGGCAUUCUGGUUAGGCCCCAGCAGCCCCACUCUGCUUUUUACUGGGUCUAAAGGUCAGAUACCUCGGGGGUAUUCCCCUGACUUCAGAUGGAGGACCUGGAGCUUGCCGUGGGCGUGAACCAGGCAGCUUGUAUGGGGUCCCAGGCAGGUGACCAGGACUGGCCCCACACUCCUCAUCCUCUAGCCUGGGGCUGGCUACCCUCCCAGCACCUCACCACUGUUUUGAGGGGAGAGGGGGCACUUAGAAAGGGCCGAAGCCUUCAUUUCUGCCUGGAUACAGCUCCAUCCUGGGCUUUUCUGGAGGGCCUGCGCAGGCUAGAUUCUCCCAACUUGGCAGCUGAGCCAGGUCUGCAAAUCCUCACCCAGGAGUUGGCAGGAGUUUUGAGUUUCGGUCAACUUGUGGUUUGGCCUCUUUCUACCUCAACUGCACCUGGCUGUGUGUGUGUGUGUGUGUGUGUGUGUUGGGGAGAUGGGUUGAGCCCUGCUUGGCUCCUGCCUUCCUGAAAUAGUCACCCUUUUCCUCAUUCUGCUGGCUCCCAUCUUGCUCUGCGUCUCUGCACCCAGAUUCGUGCUUUUCCUGGUGGAGAGACAGGCAAACAGGUCCAGAGAGGGCAAACGGCCUGUCUGGGGCCUCAGGGCCCAUCACACAGGCACUGAACUGGCCUGCAUCUAUUUCUUAAGCCAGCCCAGCAUCCCUGACACAUCUACAUAGUUCCCGGCGCACCCCCAACUAGAGCCGAGCCUGGGUUCUGGCCCUAGCCCCAGAAAAACGUCCUUAAAGGCUGGAGGAAGAUCUGCCCAGCUCAGAUCUAAAGAUCCCAGAUGGCUGGGCAGCGCCCUCUGCUGGCUAUGGCUGGGAGUGCGUGAACGCUGCAAAGCCAGGGGUCAACCCUGUGUCCCAGCGGGGGGCUUCCCACCAAGGCAGGCAGAGUCCCCUAGGACAUCUCAGCAGGCAGCUGGGAGCCCCUGCUCCAUUUUGCAGGUGGCAUUGUGUGACAAGUUUCCCUUCUCCCUUUAUACCUGUCUCACUAGAAGGCUCAGACACUGUCCCUCCCCUUGCCCCGGCACGUCCCUGGAGGCAAUGAAGGAGCAUCAGUGAUACAUCCCUAAGGAGAGAGGUGCUAUCUGCUCACCAUCAUUGUCAGCCAGCUCUAGACCACUGAGAUGUGGCACUUCCUCUUGAACCUUUCCUGGAAUCUGCCAAGUCUCUCUCCUUUCUCCUACCCCCUCUCUCCUCGUCACCCCUGGGCUGCCUGCAACUUCCACCGGCUGAGCACCCAGCUGAUCUGUAGCCAAGAUAAUCAGAUUAUUGUGGAUCUAGAAUAAUCUAUUCCAUAUGGCUUGCCAGCUCAGUGGCUCCAAGAGCUGAAGGUGUGAGGGGAGGGGGUGACCAUGCUUGGAAGAGGUUGCUCUAGGAGCUGAGGAGCCUCAGUGGGAGGCUGAUAGGAAAGGAGGCACAGGUGGGGGAAGGUGAGCCUGCCUAGCUGAGCCCUCUGACUUCUCUGGGCUCCAGCCCAAGCAUGGUCUCCAGGCCUCAACUAUCUGAGACCCGCAGGGGCUGGGUGCUCCCCAGGGCCUUUCCCACCUCUGGAUGGGGUAGGGUCACCACGGGGCACUGCUGUAUAAUUUGGGGAGAUUUUAUUUUUCAUUCUCAGGUGGCAUCCUCCAGGGAUGUGGCCCAUCACGUCCAGAUGGGGCCUGCAAAGCUCUUUUCUUCUUUUUUUUUGAGAUGGAGUUUCACCCUUGUUGCCCAGGCUGGAGUGCAGUGGCACGAUCUUGGCUCACUGCAGCCUCUGCCUCCCAGGUUCAAGCAUUUUUCCUGCCUCGGCCUCCUGAGUAGCUGGGACUACAGGUACCCUCCACCAUGCUCAGCUAAUUUUCUAUAUUUUUAGUAGAGAUGGAGUUUCUCCAUGUUGGCCAGGAUGGUCUCGAACUCCUGGCCUCAGGUGAUCCACCUACCUCAGCCUCCCAAAGUGCUGGGAUGACAGGCAUGAGCCACCGCGCCAGGCUUCUUUUUCUUCUUAGUCUCUGUGAUGUGAAGGAAGGCUUAAUGGGACUGGAGGGGUCCCCAACUCCUUCACUCUUAGGACCUCCCUCCAGGAUGGAAGGAGCCACUUGUCCUCCAAACGAGACAGGAGAGGUGAGGUGGAGGGAGUGGGGGAACAGAACAGAGGCUUCAGCCUCUGACAGACCAGAUGGAUGCCAGCUCAGCUCCUGCUUACCCUGUUAUAUGGUACAAUCUCUUUGAGCCUCCGUUUCCUCAUCUACAAAGUGGGGGCCACGAUACCCACAUCACAGUGUGCUGAGUGUGGGCAGUGACCCUGCCAAGCUCCAGCUCAGGGCCAGACCCCGGGGGAUAGUAGUGUGCACACAUGCUCCAUGCAGCCUGAUCGAUCCGCACACGCUGAGCCCAGAAGGCAUGAAUUACCUUGUGGCACAGCAGCAGACACUGAGGCCAGAGAUGGAGAGCGAGGUGCCUGAGUAGCACCGGUAGUGCAUGGUGAGGCACAGCCUCGAGCCCACAUUGGCCAGACUCCAGAGGGGUGUCCUGGGCUGUCUGAAGGUGGAGGCUACACUGCUAACAAUCUCCACCCCCACCUCCCACCCGAGAGAGUUGCUGCAGAGGUGUGCAGGAAGAUCCCUGGCUGUGGGGGACACCCAAAUUAGGAGCUUCCCAGGAGAUGCUGAGCAGGCUGGCAGUGGGAGAGCCGCUUCCUUCUCCUGGGGCCUCUGGCUCCGGCAGGGUUGGGAUUUGGGCUGCAAGGGGACUAUUUACAUAGCACCUCUGAUUAGCACUCCUGUGUCAGAGGGGCUGGUUGGGAAAUGAGGAGGGACUGAGCAGUGCCCAGGACUCAGGUUUGGUAUGGGGAAGUGGGCUAGGUGGAGUGGGGAGGCUGAGGCCUGGGCCUGAGCCUGAGAGGGUGCUACCCUGUCCAGCCUGCCCUCCAGCCUGGCCCCAGCUUGCUCUCUCACCUCUGCUCCUGUGGGGCUGCCCCAAGGCCUCAUUUCCCAGCCUUACACGUAGGCAGAGGGUAGGCUCGGGCCAGGGGAGCGGAGGCCACCAGCUCUGGCACUUGUCAAAACACAGGCCCCAGAGGUGUGAAGGCCUUACCCCAGCAGGAGAGCGUGUGGGCCCUACCGCCCGGAGAACUCAUUAACUCAGGCAGCCCCCACACAAACCCACUGGAGAGGCUGGCCACAGUCAAGAGAUCAAAGGGGAGACAGGGACAAGGAAGAGAGGCUGGCUGGUGGGGGGCGGUGGGGCCUGCGCUUGAGGUUGGGGUGCCUUCCAUCCCCCAGCUUGGCUCCGUCAGGCCAUUGCCCUUGCACCAGCUGGGUCCCGGGGUGAUUUCCCACCAGCAGCAACAGGAGAGGGUGGGACUCCACGUGCUCCUUCCAAUUUGUCUGGGGGCUGAAGUCCCCAGGGAUGAGGCUGGGGGUAGAACCCUCCCAUCUGCCCACCUCUUUCUUGCCAUCUUUUUGGGUUAUUUUUCUCCACACUAGCCCCUGUGUCUUUCUAACCCUUCCUCAGUGGUGGCACCAGGGAUCUUCCUGUCAUGGCCACUCCUGCUGUCCCUCUCCUACCCCAGAUCUCUCUGUGGGUCCCACAUGCUCAACAUUAGCUAUUAGGUUUCAGAUCUGAGAACUUCUAGGGCCUGUGGUUUCAAUGUAAAGUGUGCCUCGCACACAUAUGGUCUCUUGUCCAAAUAUGUCGCGUUGAUUUUGUACCUAAUAAAAUAUAGGCUGGGCAUGGUGGCUCAUACCUAUAAUUCCAGCACUUUGAGAGGCUGAGGGGGGAGAUUCAUGUGAAGCCAGGAGUUUGAAACCAGCCUGGGCAGAAAGUGAGACCCAGACUCUAUAAAAAUAUAUUUUUUAGUUAGCCAGGUGUGGUGAUGUACACCACCUGCAGUCCCAGCUACUGAGGAAGAUGAAGUGGGAGGAUUGCCCGAUCCCAGGGGGUCGAGGCUGCAGUGAGCUAAGAUCACACUGCUGCACUCCAGCCUGGGUGACAGAGCAAGAGCCUGUCUUAAAAAGGAAAGGAAGAAAAAUCCCCAAAACCAAAUUUGUUUCAAAGCAUUGUUGACAACCUGGUAAUGGGGCUUUCUUCUGGCACAGGCAAUUGGAAGCCCAGAGCAGGAUGGUAUAGAGAUUUGCUCUACCCUCUGCACGUGUUGACUUUGUAACUAUGUGUAAAGCAAAUGAUCUACUUGAAAAUACAGAUGCGACAAGAAAACAAGAGUUUGUGGUCAUUUUAAGUUUGCUCAAGUAUUAGCUACAAAAUGAAGUAACCAUCAUGCAAGAAGCAGGCCUUCCCUGGCACUGAGAUGCUCAGCAGUCCCUGGACCACGGGGCACUGGGAUCCUGCUGAGGUACAGCCCUCCUGCUUUCUGACAUUUCUCUUUCUUUCCUUUCCUUCCUUUUUUCUUUUCUUUUUUUUCUUAGAGGGAGUCUCACUCUUGUUGCCCAGGCUGGAGUGCAAUGCCAUGAUCUUGGCUCACUGCAACCUCCACCUUCUGAGUUCAACCAUUCUUCUGCUUCAGCCUCCCAAGCAGCUGGGAUUACAGGUGCCCACCACCAUGCCAAGCGAAUUUUUUGUAUUUUUAGUAGAGAUGGGGGUUCACCAUGUUGGCCAGGCUGAUCUUGAACUCCUGACCUCAGGUGAUCCACCUGCCUUGGCCUCCCAAAAUGUUGGGAUUACAGGCAUGAGCCACCUUGCCCAGCUGCUUUCUGGCCUUUUCUCUGCACCCUCUCCCACCUCAGCACACAGAACACUUCCCCAGUUCCCAACCCUUGGGCCUAGUGGCAUCAAAGAGGCUCAGUCACUGGACCCCCAUGCCGGGUCCCUGUGUUGGCUCUCGAGCCCAGGAAGGCAUCCAUCUGCUGCAGUCCAGAAGGAGUAGGGCCUGCUGACAGCUGCAGGUGGAGGGGUCAGGCUGCCCUUGGGUGUAGAUGGGUCCUGGGCAUAUGCACAGGGAGGGAGCUUCUCCCCUUCUCCUCACCCUAAGGGGUUGGCUGGCACAGCUUCUCCUGGAUGUGACCCUGGGCAUAGGCAUUCCAGAGCUUCUGGGACAGACUGCAGAGGAGGCCAAGGGCAGCAGGAGACAGAAGAGACCCCAGGAAGGUGGGGUGGGAGAGAUACCCAGGGAAAAGGCACCAUGCCACAGGGCCAUCAUUCUACAACCAGCUCACCCUCAGUCUCGAGAAAAGCAAAGGGAAAGGUGGAGCUGAAGAAAAUACUGAAAGAAGGGAUGUCACCUGGUGGCUGGAUGGAAGAAGGUGACAUGGGCAUCCCUGCAAUUUUAUACCUUUAAGAAAGCUGGUAUUGGGCCGGGUGCCGUGGCUCACGCCUAUGAUCCCAGCACUUUGGGAGGCUGAGGUGGGUGGAUCACAAGGUCAAGAGAUCGAGAACAUCCUGGUCAACAUGGUGAAACCCUGUCUCUACUAAAAAUACAAAAAUUCGCUGGGCAUGGUGGCGCGUGCCUGUAGUCCCAGUUACUUGGGAGGCUGGGGCAGGAGAAUCGCUUGAACCCAGGAGGCGGAGGUUGUGGUGAGCCGAGAUCGAGCCAUUGCAUUCCAGCCUGGGUAACAACAGCGAAACUCCGUCUCAAAAAAAAAAAAAAGCUGAUAUUGUUGAGAACUAGGAAAGUUAAGCAGAGAGAAUGGGUGAGGGGUGAGUGGAGAGGUCA